GACGGAGGGUGCAAGCGUUGUUCGGAAUUACUGGGCGUAAAGGGCGCGUAGGCGGUCUGUUAAGUUCGGUGUGAAAGCCCCCGGCUUACCCGGGGAACUGCGCCGGAAACCGACAGACUCGAGUACCGGAGAGGAGGGUGGAAUUCCUGGUGUAGCGGUGAAAUGCGUAGAGAUCAGGAAGAACACCGGUGGCGAAAGCGCUCUGCUAGGCCGCAACUGACACUCAUGGACGAAAGCUAGGGGAGCGAAUGGG
rnacentral:rRNA from 1 species